GACAGGAUCCACAGAGGACAAACUCUGUGCUAUAAGAAGAGAAAGACAAAAGGGUACCAACAGGAGUUGGGAACCGAUGAGGAAACGGAAAUACAAAACAUCAAGUAACAAGUCCGAGGCCAUCAAAGGUGGGGAAGUGAAGGCUCGAAUCCAGUGAGAAGGUCUGCUGUGGUCCCCACACCACUCUGUCUCCUGUGGAGGACGCCAGGUGGUGGCUGCACUGGAGGUGAGCGCAGCAUAAGGCACAGAGAAGUCCAAUCACGAAACUGAACAC